UACGUAGGGGGCAAGCGUUGUCCGGAAUUAUUGGGCGUAAAGCGCGCGCAGGCGGUCAUUUAAGUCUGGUGUUUAAACCUUGGGCUCAACCUGGGGUCGCACUGGAAACUGGGUGACUUGAGUACAGAAGAGGAAAGUGGAAUUCCACGUGUAGCGGUGAAAUGCGUAGAUAUCUGGAGGAACACCGGUGGCGAAGGCGGCAUCCUGGACCGGUAUUGACACUGAGGCGCGAAAGCCAGGGGAGCAAACGGG
rnacentral:rRNA from 1 species